rnacentral:lncRNA from 1 species
AGACUCUCCACUUCUGCAACCUGGGAGGACGGAGAUCCUACAACUGGGAGGAGCACUCUUGGAGCUUCAUGGGGUUUGUACAAAACAUUGCAGCAGAACCAUUACUAUGCCUCAGAGACAUGCAGGGGCCCCGGGGCAAAUCAAAAAAAGUGUUUUUGACUGCACAACAUGUGUGAAGUUGAUGAAAAUUCAUGACAUCUCUAUCAGGGCUGUUUCAGCUUACGUCAUCAGAAAGAUUUAUUCCCCAGCACAGCAAGAGGAUGCGCCUGUGACCCUUUUCAAACUUACUCUCCACUCGGCUUAUGGAGACCAUCAGCUGCAGGACAAAUAUUUUAGUUUGGAUAUGCAUGUCACAAUUAAUAAUAAAAAGAUACAGGACCAAGGCAGACUGAAUGGCUCCAAUUAUCAGAAUGUGAAAGCAUGA